GAUGAAGAACGCAGCGAAAUGCGAUAAGUAGUGUGAAUUGCAGAAUUCAGUGAAUCAUCGAAUCUUUGAACGCACCUUGCGCUCCUUGGUAUUCUGAGGAGCAUGCCUGUUUGAGUGUCAUUUAAUUCUCAAACUUUACCUAGUUUGCAAAAACUAGAUCAGGUUUGGAGUCUGGAAGUUGCUGGCUUUUUUUUUAAGCUAGCUCUUCUAAAAUAUAUUAGCAGAAUUAUUGCUACUCAAUAUGGUAUGAUAAUUAUCUAUACCGUUGAAAGUAAGCUUUCUGAUUUUGCUUCUAAUUGUCUACCAAGACAACCUUGAUACCUUUGACCUCAAAUCAGGUAGGACUACCCGCUGAACUUAAGCAUAUCAAUAAGCGGAGGA
rnacentral:misc_RNA from 1 species